CUUUAUCCUUGGCUCAUUACUAAGGAUGGAAAGUUACAAAACUCAAUUGAAUUUUAUCAAGUUUAAUGGCAUGUCUUUAUAAAAUGAAUUCUGAUAACCUGAUUGCAAUUUAUUGUCCAUAAUUCCAAGGAGUUUGGUUGGGAAACUCAGAAGCCUUGAUUAUUGGUUAGUUUAACUUAUUGCACAUAAAUAUUUUUCUCUGGAUGCAAUCUCUCACUUCCUUCUGUUCUUACAAAAUUACAGGUUUGAAGAGCAUCAAGUAGCCAAGUUGUAUGCUAUGCAUUUUAAUCAUCUCUUCAUAUAUUAUUAGAUAAUACAAUUUCAAGCUGUUUCAUUGUUUUGUUAACAUUCCUGUUCUAAUUUGAAAAAGAAACUAAGAAUAUAUAAUUUUAUAAAAUUUGUAGUCCUUACUCAUUUGGUGGCCUCACCCUUAUGUUUUCAACCUUUCCCUAUACCCUGACUGUUUCCAUCAACACCUAUAAAUACCCAUACACACAUACCACUUUACAUAUAUCUGUCUCUAUCCCUGCCUCCAUCUGUCCCUACUGUCCUCACUCUUCAUUUCUUCUUGGGUCCUCAUAUGUUGAAAUUUUAUCCAUGUUCUCACUUCUGUUUUAUCUGUAAAUCCACUUCAAUUUCACUUAGACCGUACUGUUUCAUACUGUUUCUCUGUUUCUUUUCAUUGAAGCCAUCAUAAAUCAUGUGUUCAUUCAUUGCACACAUUGAUUAUAACUUCUAUGUGGUAGAUCUCAUAGAUAUAAAAAUGAAUUGAUGUUGUGUAUGAUCUCAGUGAAUUUGUAGUACAGUAAGGAAAAUUGCUUCCUCUUAGACUUUAUUAUUGAAGCUCUUCCACCAUCCAUGCCAGAACUCUGUCUUUGACUUUUUUAUUCUAGUUUAUUUGCAGACAUAUGUUGAGGGUCUACAAUAAUUCUAAGCAUGUUACGUCUUUCUAGAAAUUUGUUCAUUUUAUGCAUUUAAAGACAUAAAUUCCCCAUUUGAGCACUGUUUGUCCUAAAUCCCCUAAAUUUGGGUAUGUUGAAUUUUUAUUUUCAUUUAUCUUAUUUUCUAAUUCCCAUUUUGAUUUUUUGACCCAAUGGUUAUAUAGGAAUGCAUCGUUCAAUUUCCAUAUAUUUGUGAAUUUCCAAAAUAUUCUUCUGCUAUUUUUAAUUUCAGUUCAUUAUACUUGUAGAAAAUACUUUGUAAGAUUUUAAUCAUUUUAAGUUUUUUGAGGCUUGUUUUAGGGCUUUGCGUAUUAUCUGUACUGCAGAAUGUUCCAUAUGCACGUAAGAAUGUAUAGAUUGCUGCUCUUCAGUGAAGUGCUUUCUAGAUAUCUAUUAGGUCUAGUUGGUUUAUGCAUUGUUCAAGUAUUUUAUUCUCUUGCUGAUAAUGCGUAGUUGUUCUAUUCAUUUACAAUGGGGCAUAAUAGUAAUCAACUAUUACUAUUGAUGUGUUUAUUUCAAUUCUUUCAGCUUUUUAUCAUGUAUUUUGGGGCCCUAAUGUGAGGUGCAUGUAGGUUUAUAAUUGUUAUAUCUUCUUGGUGGAAUGGCCUUUUAUGAUUACACAGUGUUUUUUUUGUUGUUGUUUCUAGUAACCAUUUUUGUAUUACUACUUUGUCUGAUAUUAAAAUAGCCAAUUCAAUUCUCUUUGGCUUACCAAUUUCAUGGCAUAUAGAUUCUUUUUUCUUUUUUUUGGCCUAUUUGGUCUUUGGAUCUAAAAUGUUGGCUCUUAUAUAAAGCAUAUAAUUGGAUCAUGUGUACUUUUUUCCAAGUCUGUCAAUCUCUGCCUUUUCAUCAAAGAAUUUAAUAAAUUUGAUUCAUUAACUGAUA
rnacentral:lncRNA from 10 species